rnacentral:rRNA from 1 species
AUUGAACGCUGGCGGCAGGCCUAACACAUGCAAGUCGAGCGGAUGAAGGGAGCUUGCUCCUGGAUUCAGCGGCGGACGGGUGAGUAAUGCCUAGGAAUCUGCCUGGUAGUGGGGGAUAACGUCCGGAAACGGGCGCUAAUACCGCAUACGUCCUGAGGGAGAAAGUGGGGGAUCUUCGGGCCUCACGCUAUCAGAUGAGCCUAGGUCGGAUUAGCUAGUUGGUGGGGUAGAGGCCUACCAAGGCGACGAUCCGUAACUGGUCUGAGAGGAUGAUCAGUCACACUGCAACUGAGACACGGUCCAGACUCCUACGGGAGGCAGCAGUGGGGAAUAUUGGACAAUGGGCGAAAGCCUGAUCCAGCCAUGCCGCGUGUGUGAAGAAGGUCUUCGGAUUGUAAAGCACUUUAAGUUGGGAGGAAGGGCAGUAAGUUAAUACCUUGCUGUUUUGACGUUACCAACAGAAUAAGCACCGGCUAACUUCGUG